rnacentral:snRNA from 1 species
GUGGCAUGUCUUGUUAUAUUUC